rnacentral:rRNA from 1 species
GAUGAACGCUGGCGGCGUGCUUAAUACAUGUAAGUCGAACGAGGAGUUUGCUUCGGUAAAUCUCCGAGUGGCGAACGGGUGAGUAACGCGUUGGUGACCUGCCCCGAAGUGGGGGAUAACGGCUCGAAAGGGCUGCUAAUACCCCAUGUGGUCGUAGAGGCUAGAUACUUUACGUCUAAAGGAGUAAUUCGCUUCGGGAUGGGCCUGCGUCCCAUCAGCUAGUUGGUAGGGUAAUGGCCUACCAAGGCGACGACGGGUAGGGGGCCUCAGAGGGUGACCCCCCACAUUGGCACUGAAACACGGGCCAAACACCUACGGGUGGCAGCAGUAGGGAAUAUUGCACAAUGAGCGAAAGCUUGAUGCAGCAACGCCGCGUGCGCGAUGACGGCCGUUCGGGUUGUAAAGCGUCUUUCGGGGAGAUGAGGAAGGACAGUAUCCCCGGAAUAAGUCUCGGCUAACUACGUG